AUAAAAAACCAAUGCCCUUCGGGGCUCCUUGGUGAUUCAUAAUAACUUAACGAAUCGCAUAGCCUUGUGCUGGCGAUGGUUCAUUCAAAUUUCUGCCCUAUCAACUUUCGAUUGUAUGGUAUUGGCUUACAAUGGUUUCAACGGGUAACGGGGAAUUAGGGUUCUAUUCCGGAGAGGGAGCCUGAGAAACGGCUACCACAUCCAAGGAAGGCAGCAGGCGCGCAAAUUACCCAAUCCCGACACGGGGAGGUAGUGACAAUAAAUACUGAUACAGGGCUCUUUUGGGUCUUGUAAUUGGAAUGAGUACAAUUUAAAUCCCUUAACGAGGAACAAUUGGAGGGCAAGUCUGGUGCCAGCAGCCGCGGUAAUUCCAGCUCCAAUAGCGUAUAUUAAAGUUGUUGCAGUUAAAAAGCUCGUAGUUGAACCUUGGGUUUGGUUGGUCGGUCCGCCUCACCGCGUGUACUGGUCCGGCCGGGCCUUUCCUUCUGGAGAACCGCAUGUCCUUCACUGGGUGUGC
rnacentral:rRNA from 1 species